rnacentral:misc_RNA from 1 species
AUACGAUGACACAUGAGAAAACCCAAAUCUUAUUGGGGACAUCAAUGUGUACUGUGUAGUACACAUGAAUUACUGUACAUCAACUCCUCCUCCGGACGCUAAUUAUCACUCCUUUUUUUAAUCAAAGAUUACACAUUUCAUCACUUUUUUAGCAGUUUAGGCCUCCCUCUUACUCAUCCACAUUGCUAAUGAUUUGACAUAAAGCAAGCAUACUCAUCAUAUUACCUAGGCAAGGUAUCCGUAUUCCUUUUUCCUUGGAAUUAGGAAAUGACUAUGAUUUUUCCACAAUUGCGGUCA